CCCGCACAAGCGGUGAUGAUGUGGAUUAAUUCGAUGCAACGGAAAACCUUACCUACCCUUGACAGUACGGAAGUCGUGAGAGGCAUGUGCUCGAAAGAGAACCGUAACAAAGUGCUGCAUGCUGUCGUCAGCUCGUGUCGUGAGAUGUGGUUAAGUCCCGCACGCGCGCACCCUUGUCCUUAGUUGCUACGCAAGAGCAUCUAAGGAGACUCCGGUGACAACCGGAGGAAGGUGGGGAUGACGUCAAGUCCUCAUGGCCCUUAUGGGUAGGGCUUCACCGUCAUCAAUGGUCGGUACAGAGGGGGGCCAAACCGCGAGGUGGAG
rnacentral:rRNA from 1 species